GAUAUACUCCCUCCAUUCCAAAUUAGUUGACUUGGAUUUAUUUAGAUACGGAUGUAUCUAAAACUAAAACAUGUCUAGAUAUAUCUGUAUCUAGACAAAUUUGAGUCAACUAAUUUGGAAUGGAGGAAAUAGUAG
rfam:Triticum urartu cultivar G1812 contig1454203, whole genome shotgun sequence.